rnacentral:lncRNA from 1 species
AUGCUCAUGGUGGUUUUAGGAGGGCCCUGGCUGAGCACCUCGUGGAUUCCUGCAGCCUGGAUGAAGACAGGAGACAGAGGACCGACGCUUCCUGCCUUUCUCACUGACAGGAAUGUUCAGUUGGAGCUCUGCCAGCUCCCCUGGGGGCUGCCUCUGAAACAAUCUUGUUACACCUGGGAUUUUGGUGCCUUUAAUCUGAGAAAAAGUACAUAUCCAUUCAGUAAUCCAAAAGGACUUGAAACUCUUCUUCUCUGAACUAAAGCUAGAGUAUCAUGGGAUUUAAAGAAUCAAGGUAAGAAAUUUUUCUCCUCCCGAGCCUUUUGGAACCAAUGAUGGCCACUGGAAUUGGUGAUCUCUUGCAACACAACUUGGGGUGUCGUUUCUGACCACUUACUUUAAGCCCACCCUGGUACACAAAACCCAGUUCUCAGGGUUUGUUCACCUGGACCUAUUGCCUGGGGGCAAUCCCUCUGUCCCCAGCUGGGAAAGGGGUUCACAGUCUCCUGGUGGAUACCCCACACUUUUCCUUCUGGCGAAAGGUGAAGAAGCUCAGGCCACCCUGCUGAGGUGUAUGGAGCCGGCACCAGGGAGAGACUGGAUACGUUUGGUGGGGUUAUGUGAUCAGGUCAGCAGAUCUUCGUGGGUAUCCAGAUGUAAUCUCUUCCUCUCUCCCUGCCUUCUUGAAUUGCCUGUGCCAGCUUCCAAGUCUCAGGCUGCCUGUGGGGCGAGGGUAAGAGGUUAAAACUGAUGCCUUCAGGCAAACCUCGUUUUCCUGGUUUUGCUCCUCACCUCACUCAGCCUCCCCAAGCCUUGAUUUCCUCAUUUAUAAAAUCAGCAUCCUAUUAGUGCCCCGGGAGGAUGUAGGUGCUGAGUGAUUUGGGGAGAUAAAGUUUACCCUCCUGCCUUUCAUGGAGGAGGAAAUGCUCCAAAACGGAAGAAGGUUCUUUCUUGGGUUUGUUUUCAAUUCAUUAAUGACACCAUUUCAAGGCCCUGCCAGGCAGCAGGCUGUUUCCAAGUCCUUGGUCUGCGGCUCUCUCUGCCUUUCACCUGCCACCAAGUCUGCCUGGGAAAGGGCUGGUCGCGCGUGCAUAGCCCCUUGCCCCGAGCAAAGUCGAUUUCUCCCUCCACUGGACUGGAGCCGGCCGUUGAAGGCAUGCC